rnacentral:rRNA from 1 species
CUCAAAGAUUAAGCCAUGCAAGUGGUUAUGUAAAACCUGACGGUUUAAAUUAGUGUUUUAAAAAUAUUUGUUACAACCAAAAAAAAAAUAAAAUUGAUCACUAACGCAACUGCAAACAGCUGCUUAAUACAGUCACACUUGUCUUGACUUAGCACCUAUAUUUUUUAUUUUUUGCAAAAAAAAUAAUUAAUUUAAAUAAAAAUGUGAAUGAUUUCCAUUUUGAGAAUCCAUUUAUACACACAAAUUACACUUUGGAUAACUCAGGGAAAGUUUGGCUAAUACGUACGAGAUAUUAAAAAAAAAAAAUAAUAUAAUUUGCUUUUUUUUUCAAAUUUUAUACACACAAAUAAAAAAAAUAGCGCUUUAUUUUUAUUUUUUUUAAAACAAUUCACAUCUCAGCUCUUGUUGGUAAAUUCUCAUAGCUUUAUCCUUCGGGUGUAAGCUUUUAUAAUUUAAACGCAACAUGAGAGACAUCAAGCACGCAACGUCGUUCUUUUAGGAUGACAUUAUGCUGAGCAGACUUUGCGAGGAAUUUCCUUUGCGAAGCAAGUCAUACAAGCAUCUACAGCAUCAAGUCACAGGGUUGGCAAGUGUAUUUUUGAACCUUCAAAGCAGUUACGCAUACGGAGGAGUAGUUUCUGAUCCCAUAGAAGGAGCACCGUACGUUGAGAGACCGCUCUUAGUUCUAAGGAACGCAGCAGGCGCGUAAAUUGCCCAAUGCUAGUACCCUAUUGUAAUUUUUUAAAUUAUAAUUAGCAAUAUACCAAAUUUACGUUUAAAAAAAAAUAUUUAAACGAAAUUUUUACAAACACCAAUAUACAUAACACACUGUUUUAUUUUUAAACAAUAAAACAUAUCCUUGCUUCACAUGCUAAUUUUAACAGUUGAAAAAAAAAUUACUUUUUUCACUGAGGCAGUGACAAGCUGUAACGGUUGAGUAUUUUUUUAAGAGAGUGUCUGGCAUUGUCGCCUGAUCUUCGGUGAUGGCUUGACAGUUCGCCGACGCUUUAUGUGCUCAAUUGGAAUGCGGUGAAUUUAAGAAACUCAGAACCAUUGGAUCGUGUUUACCUUGUUUACACGGUUUAAAUAUCUGAAUUUUCAAGUGGAGGGCAAGUCUGGUGCCAGCAGCCGCGGUAANACCAGCUCCACUAGCCUAUACAAUCAUUGUUGCGGUUAAGAGGCUCGNAGNUGGAUUGAACGAUUUGCUUUUUUUUUCUUUAAAAAAAGAGUAAUUAUUCGCAUAUUUUUAAAAAAAAAAUUAAAAUCUUUUUAACACACAAAAAAAUAUUUUUUUUUUAAAUAAAUAAGCGGGNGUUUAANAAAAACCAAUUUUUCAACACUGUGAACAAAUCAGAGUGUAUCAAACAUGUCGUUUUCGAAUUGUGCAUUGAAUGUCUUAUCAUGGAACGUUGCAUUGCACAUUUUGUUAAUUUUUUACACACAAAAAAAAAAUAAUUUUUAUUUUAACAACUUGCUUUUUGAAAAAAAAGAUAUAAGUGUAAAAAAAAUAUUUUUAUAUAUUUUUUUUUAUGUCGAUGGGGAUAGUUGGAGUCAAGAGUACUGCNGGGCGAGAGGUGAAAUUCGUUGACCCUAGCAAGACUACCAAAAGCGAAAGCCCUUGGCUAGGCUACACCCUUUGUGUUAUUUAUGUUUUUUUUUCUUUAGUAAAAAAAAAAUAAAAUAGAUAUUUUUUCUUUAAACNCNCCUUUUUUUAAAAAAAUACUAUUUUUUUUUCUUUGCGUUAAAAAGAAAAUUAAAAAAAAAAACAACACUUUACAAUGAAGAACGAAGGUUGGGGGAUCAAAGAGGAUCAGAUACCCUCGUCGUCCCAUUCGUUACAUCAAACGAUGGGCUCUCAAUUGCAUAUUCUAAAGUUAUUAGACUAUGCCCUCAACCUGCAAAUUUGACUUGAGCUUGUCUUUCGGGAUAUUGCUCGUCUAUUUGUAUACUGGUUUCGAUGGACAUUUCUUUAACUUAAUCUUUUUUGACGUGAUUCGAAUAUUAUUUUCGUUCACUUGAUUUUAGGAGCUUUGCGCUCAAUUGGUGAGAUGUAAGCACUUUGUAAUCUGCCCUCAAUGCAAGUAUUUUUGCCUACGGGUAAUGUACUGUGCGUUGCUGUGUGUAUGUUUACAUGUUUUGCGCGAUGCACGCUUUAGGCACGCGCUUACUGCAGAAAUGUCUGAGACAUUCCCCUCCGGGGGUAGUAUGCACGCAAGUGUGAAACUUGAAGGAAUUGACGGAGGGGCACCACAAGAACGCGUGGAGCAUGUGGCUUAAUUUGACUCAACGCGGGAAAUCUUACCGGGUCCGGACACACUGAGGAUUGACAGGCAAAAGAUACAAAGUAGUUUUCGGGCUCUUUGCAUUGUAAAAUAUGCGAGUCCUUUCAUGAUUAUGUGAUAGGUGGUGCAUGGCCGUUCUUAGUUCGUGGAGUGAUCUGUCUGCUUAAUUGCGUUUCACAACGAUUUAAAACACUAUGUUUUUGCGUUUGCUGUUCGGUUGUUUCUUUGUAAAUGACUUUGAACGCACGCAGCGUAGUUGAAAAAACAAUCGGAAAGCAACGAACGUGACCGCAACCUCUUGUUGCCUUUAUUUUAUAAAAUGCAUUUAAUCUUUUUUUGUUUCGGCAAAAUAAGGUUUGUUCAUAAUGUGUUGAAAAAGGCUUUAAAACUAGAGGGACCGCUGUUCUAUUUUCUUAAACCAGAGGAAGAUUGCGGCAAUAACAGGUCUGUGAUGCCCUCAGAUGUUCCGGGCUGCACACGUGCUACAAUGAUUGUUGCAGUGAGCAUCUAUUUUCAAAUGCUGCCGUUGUGGAUUUUAUCGUUGAGUUCUGACUUGAGUGGGAUUUCCUUUUUUGAAGCUUUCGGGUGGAUUUAGAGGGUUUCACAAUGGUAGCUCUGAUAAAUUUUCCAUGUAACGGUUUAGCUAAACCUGCUUCGAAAGCAAGUAGGUAAUCAAUUGGAAGUAACGAUUUCCUUUUUAUAGGAAAGCACAACUUCUGGUCCAUUUGGUAUUGCGGAGGUUUCUUAAGCAAUUUUGAAACUUUUUGUCGAUAUUCCUUUUGGAUAUCUGUGCUAAAAACUUUUUAAUUCAAGGUGGGGACAGACCAUUGUUAAUUGUUGGUCUUGUUUUAACUAGGAAUGCCUUGUACGGGUUGGUUCAACAAACCACCCGGAAUACGUCCCUGCCCUUUGUACACACCGCCCGUCGCUCUUACCGAUGGACUUCUCUGUGAGGUUGAGGGACUGGGUCCUUGGACCUAUGGAAACUUAAUCGAACAGUGUGGUCUAAAGGAAAGAGAAGUCGUAACAAGGCAUCGGUAGGUGAACCU